GCCGGGCACAAGCUUAGCUCCUGGCUCAUCGACCGAUCUGCGAUACGACUUUUUCAGUGGUUAACAAUAGUAAUAGGUCCCUCCACUCGACCUUUUUUAAUGUAUAUAAAAAGCUAAGAUGUGAGCUUUUUUUUCUGGACAUUUAAAGUUGAGUUCACAUGAGACCGAACCAAAACAUGAAUCUGGCUAUAAUAAAGCGACGUGUAUAUGUAAUAUAUAUAAGUCUUUGUCCUCUCCACUUUAUUCUAUAUGAAAUGCAUGUGGCCGUUGCUCCA